CGCGCGCCGACAGCCGAAGAUGCUGGGAUGAGUUCUAAGUCACUGAUGGAUUACCGCGGUUGAGGUUCGGUGGAGUGAUGCAUCUGAGAACGGGGGCUUGGCCUCGAGAAGAUUCUUAGGUGCACUCAAUUGCUUGUGCUUCCUCACCGAGAGAAUUCACAAGAGAAAAUGUCCAACUCCGUUUGCAAACCAGGAGGCUUCCGUGGUUUCCUCUCGACUUUGGAAUGGGUACAAAGGAUUAAGGAGGCUGCAGCAGCGUUUCAAGAGGUUUCAGAAGUAAACAGACCUCAGAACCUUGGAUCGACUUCCAGCACCGCAGCUGAGGGAUGGGAGGGGUCUGCUUCCAGAUGCUGUUUCCUCACAUCGAAGAUGCUCUGGUGAGGUGGAGGGCACCAAGCAGGUCUGAGGUUCCUGCGACAGAAUACACAGCCAUCCACGGCCCUGCCUGUCACUUGCCUUCCUUACCGAAUCCCUUCUGUGGUGGUAGUAGGGGAGACACUGGGAGGAUCGGCCUUCCUUCUGCUCCUUUCUAGUAGAAAUCAAUAGGCCUCCCACAAUAGACAGGCCCCAGGCACUCAUGAACACAGAAAAGCACUCAACCAUGCCGAAGUAUCCGAAUCUGUCUGCAGCAGAAGGAUUUGUGCCAGUGAAUAAACAAAACAGAAAGACCAAUACUAUGUAGUCCUUUUGAGUUACAGUCAGUGCCCUUUUGUCCAUCUGAAACUAAAGACACGGGGGAAUCUGUUGAUGUAUGUGAGGGCAAGUGAGGGACACUUAGAGACUGGGCCACAGCAGUGUUUUCUAUAACAAACCAUGAUCCUGCACUGUUUUCUGUGGAAGCUUCUGGAACAGCUGUGGGCGCUUGGCAGGGCUUAACACAUAGGUUUUAUGGCAGCUGUUUUGUUCUGUCCAAACUGCUUCUUGCCUAACCCUUCCCCUGACUUCAGGCGACAUUCUUUCUCUCUCAGGAAGAGCAAAUGCUUGUAUUAAAGGGCGCCAUCUAUUCUCUGUCUCUCUCUCUUUUUGCAUUAAUGUGUUCACACAUGCAUGUGUCUUCCCAUGUCUCAUACACAUGUGCAUGUGUGUGGAAAAAGGUUAAUGUCUGGUAUCUUCCCGGAUAGCUCUCCAACUUACACCUUUAGGCAGUUUCCAACUUGAAGCCAGAGCUCACCAGUUCCCUAGUCCGUGCAGGGGAUCCAGUCUUACCUCCUGAGUGCUGGCAUGCCAGGUGUGAGUUCACGGAGGUGCUGGGCAUCCAAACGCUGGUCCUCACACUGGCACGGCAAGUGCUGUACUCACGGAGCCAUUUCCCCAGCCCAAACCCACCUUUGGAAAGGCAUUUCUAGUAUGGUAUUACAAACAAAUGCUGGGCGUGGAUGUCGCAACCUUGGUAUCUCGCUUGUCUAGCGUGAUGAGGCCUGGGAUCAAUCACUAGCACCACAUGAACCAGGCGUGGUGGUCCACGUAUGCCUGCAAUCCCAGGAGUUUAAGGUCAUCUUCAGCCAUGUAUUAAGUUUAGAGCCAGCUACAGGAGAUCA